UAAUGGAGAUGGAAUCUGCACCUUCUGCCUUAUACUACUUUAUGCUAAAGUGAACAAAAUUAGUAAAUGACACACAAUUCGUGUCUGAGUUCAAGCUCUUGAUUAUAAAUUCGCCAACAAGCAGAGGAGCACACACUACAACUCAUUAAAAAGCUCAGAGAAAAAUGGUGUCCAACAACACCUUGUCCUCCAUAGCAGCACCUCCUUUGCAACUAGUCUCCAUAGUUGGCAUCGUCAUGUUUUUGCUGUUUGUUCCAUCUUACAUAAAGUUCAGAUCAACGGUGCAAGCAGCCAACACCAGCUUCCACAUCUUCCGCUUGGUUUUGCCCCUCUUGUUGAUUUUGAUUGCUUACUUCAUCUCUCGAUGUGGGUCACGGAUUAAGGUUCCGGGAGCGCUGUCAUUCCUUGGUCGACGAGUACGAGGUCGUGCAGAAACAGGGGGGUCGCCGCCUUGGGGCGUGGCGGCCACGGUGGUGGUGCUGUUGGUUCUGGCAUCCUCCCUCUCCAACUGCAGGUCUAUGUGGUCGCCACUCAUUUGGAGACCCUACUGAUUGACACACCACUACAAAGAGAUGAAAUCAAAGUAUUGGAAUCAUGAAUGGGCGGAAAAUGAAUAAAGCAUUAGAACAUGAUGGAUCAAGCGGAGAAGCAACGGAGCAGCUUCACAUAGGCUUGCAUGUAUGGAUAGCAGAGAACUGAAAAAGGUGUAGGAGCUAUGGAUGUGAGAGGAUACAAUACUAAUUUGCUUAGUUUAGGUUUUACUAUUAAUUUUUCAAAUUACAUUGAUUCAUGACGUAGUAUACUAUGUACUUUUGAGUUUUAGUCGAGAUUUGAGAAUCGAUUGCAUUUUAUAUUUUGUACGUAUCAAACAAUUUGUAACGUGAGCAAGUGUGUGGAGUGUAUCAGUUAAAAUUUGGGGCACAAAUUCACAUCA